GGAUGUGAGGGCGAUCUGGCUGCGACAUCUGUCACCCCAUUGAUCGCCAGGGUUGAUUCGGCUGAUCUGGCUGGCUAGGCGGGUGUCCCCUUCCUCACCGCUCCAUGUGCGUCCCUCCCGAAGCUGCACGCUCGGUUGAAGAGGACGACCAUCCCUGAUAGAGGAGGACCAUUCUUCGGUCAAGGGUAUAUGAGUAGCUGCGCUCCCCUGCUAGAACCUCCAAACAAAAAAUGAGGGAUGAGAGCAUGGCUCAAGUGGUAGAGCACCUUCCUAGUAAGCACAAGGACCUGAGUU
rnacentral:snRNA from 1 species